CGUGAGUAAUUCCUGAGUGUCAGA
rnacentral:miRNA from 1 species